AGUAUAAUGCCUGAAUAAAGGGUAACAUUGAUAUUGUUAAUAAUAUAGUUUCUACUA
rnacentral:tRNA from 1 species